CUUGGGAGCCCCGCUUCGUGGGCACACUGGUCUGUCACAGCGUCCAAGCCACGCGGUCAGGCGAUCAUGGCACUUCGAGGCUGGGUAACAGCCAUAGGAGCGGCGCAGAUAGCGCAGAGAUGGAUACACGGCGCCGAGGAAGCCUCCCAGGGUCCUCUCCGAGGAUAGCAAGUUAUCGCUUUGUUUUCAAAUAAUGCAGUUGGUAAUAAGUUUUUGGAUGUGUGUGAGCUGUAAAUCGUUCUGAAAAUUGAACUGAAGAUACAAUAUCGUAAAUCUCUUCCUUGGUGGUAGAAUAUUUAUGGGGAGAGCAAUAUAAUCAGUUACGUGGCUGUGCUGUGUCUGACACCUGACUGAAGGGGACCCUGUACCGAGGAUCUAUCACCUGUUAGACAAUCCCUCCAGGGCACUUUCUGGAGUCUUGGAUUUCCCUAUUAGACAAAAAGCACCUAUUGAGCACUUAUUACCUGCCAGCCAUUAUUCUGGAUGCCAGAGAAUACGCUAUGGACAGGACAGAUGACAUCCUUAUCACCUUGAACUAGAAGAAUAAAACUAGCAUUUAAUGAGUGCUUACCAUGUGCCAGCAGGGAGGCGCUAUGUUAACCAGAGAUGUCUUCACUCAUACCUUCUCUGAAGCAGGGAUGCCCAUUUGGAUUUCAGUGGUUUUCAUGCUGGGCAAGAGCCCCUCCAGUGAGCAGAGAGAACAUAGUUGCUGCUAAUAUCCAGAUAUUAACGCAGAGCUGGUGUUGCCAAGAAAAUAUAUUAACAAUGCAGGACCUUUUAAGUUUUCAACCUUCAAAGAGGACCUGCUCAGGAAGCCCCACCCCUCAGGUUUGUUCCAUUCUGUCACAGGUGGGAGUGAUGGAUGGGAGGAGACCUGUGAACAGGGAUGAGAGCGCAAGAAUACAAGGUCCUGAAUACCUUUGCCCUCAAAAGCAAUAGCUGCUAAAGGAACAGCAUUUUCCAAUGUUUUAUAGUCUAAUCCAGGUUUCCCCCAGAUUUUUCAAUGCCAAGAAUCUGUUUUAUAAUCGAAACCUCUCUACC